rnacentral:rRNA from 1 species
GACGAACGCUGGCGGCGUGCCUAAUACAUGCAAGUCGAGCGCAGGAAACUGACGGAACUCUUCGGAGGGAAGGCAGUGGAAUGAGCGGCGGACGGGUGAGUAACACGUAAGGAACCUGCCUCAAGGAUUGGGAUAACUCCGAGAAAUCGGAGCUAAUACCGGAUAGUUCAACGGACCGCAUGGUCCGCUGAUGAAAGGCGCUUCGGCGUCACCUUGAGAUGGCCUUGCGGUGCAUUAGCUAGUUGGUGGGGUAACGGCCCACCAAGGCGACGAGGCAUAGCCGACCUGCGAGGGUGAUCGGCCACACUGGGACUGCGACACGGCCCAGACUCCUACGGGAGGCAGCAGUAGGGAAUCUUCCACAAUGGACGAAAGUAUGAUGGAGCAACGCCGCGUGAGUGAUGAAGGUUGUCGGAUCGUAAAACUCUGUUGUAAGGGAAGAACACGUACGAGAGGAAAUGCUCGUACCUUGACGGUACCUUACGAGAAAGCCACGGCUAACUACGUGCCAGCCGCCGCCGUAA